AUGUGCCACUCGUACACUGCGGUUCCGAGCGCGCCGUCCACACCCGUUUGAUCACGGCGCGCAACGGUUUGCUAGCC
rnacentral:sRNA from 1 species